AAAGAAAUAAUUCCCAAAGCUUCUAACUUUACAAAGAGCACUAACUUGUUCAUAUUUCUU
rnacentral:tRNA from 1 species